rnacentral:rRNA from 1 species
CUGGCUCAGAUUGAACGCUGGCGGCGUGCUUAACACAUGCAAGUCGCGCGUGAAAGGACUUCGGUCCGAGUAAAGCGGCGCACGGGUGAGUAACGCGUGGAUGAUCUACCCAUGAGUUAGGAAUAACGGCUGGAAACGGACGCUAAUACCAAAUACGCUCCGAUUUCAACUUCGGGGGAAAGGUGGCCUCUGCUUGCAAGCUACUGCUCAUGGAUGAGUCCGCGUCCCAUUAGCUAGUUGGUGGGGUAACGGCCCACCAAGGCGACGAUGGGUAGCCGGUCUGAGAGGAUGACCGGCCACACUGGGACUGGAACACGGCCCAGACUCCUACGGGAGGCAGCAGUGGGGAAUAUUGCGCAAUGGGCGAAAGCCUGACGCAGCGACGCCGCGUGAGGGAUGAAGGUCCUCGGAUCGUAAACCUCUGUCAGGAGGGAAGAACCGCCACGGUGCUAAUCAGCCGUGGUCUGACGGUACCUCCAAAGGAAGCACCGGCUAACUCCGUGCCAGCCGCCGC